rnacentral:rRNA from 1 species
UCAUCACCCCAUUGUUUACUUACCAUGUUGCUUCCACUGGACAGGUUGACCCGUCAAAAGGUUGACCCUCUGGCUUCGUGCUGGGGAGUGCCGGUGGAUAACCCACACAAAAAACUUGAACCAAAACCUAAAUAAGCAAUUUUGUCUGAAUAAGUUUAUAUAAACCUUUAUAAAACUUUCAACAACGGAUCUCUAGGCUCUUGCAUCGAUGAAGAACGCAGUGAAAUGCGAUACGUAAUGUGAAUUGCAGAAUCUCGUGAAUCAUUGAAUCUUUGAACGCACAUUGCGCCUUAUGGUAUUCCAUAAGGCAUGCCUGUCUGAGCGUCAGCUCCCCCCCACUCAAGCUCUUUUGCUUGGAUUAUUUUGGGCGAGCAGCCGUAAAAGGUUGCUGUCCACAAAUUCAUAGGCAGUAUGGUCUUUUCCAAGCUGAACGUAAUAAUUAAAAAAAAUCACGUUUACUUUGAGAGAUAUUGUACUUGCCCUUAACCCACAAACUUUUUUAUGGGUGACCUCAGAUCAGGUAGGGAUACCCGCUGAACUUAAGCAUAUCAAUAAGCGGAGGAAAAGAAACCAACAGGGAUUGCCUCAGUAACGGCGAGUGAAGCGGCAAAAGCUCAGAUUUGAAAUCUGACGUCAUAUUGGCGUCCGAGUUGUAAUCUGUAGAGGAGUAUUCGAGUGUGGCGCUGGCUUAAGUUCCUUGGAACGGGACGUCAUAGAGGGUGAGAACCCCGUUAACGGCCUUUGUCUUAUGCUCAUGUGAAUCUCCUUCAACGAGUCGAGUUGUUUGGGAAUGCAGCUCUAAAUGGGUGGUAAAUUCCAUCUAAAGCUAAAUACUGGCAAGAGACCGAUAGCGCAC